rnacentral:lncRNA from 1 species
ACAGUGGCUGCGUAACAACAGCUGUAGUCAAACAGCCCAACCUGCCACACAAAGGCAUUUGCUGUUGCUGAGGAAAUGGAUGUGAAUGUGGAUUUUGGAGCUCAAGAAAGAGAAGGCUAAAAGGUGCUUUAAUUUAUAGACUGAUAUUUCAUAAUAAAAGAAAAACAUCAGCUUUUCCAGGUGAU